rnacentral:rRNA from 1 species
GACGAACGCUGGCGGCGUGCCUAAUACAUGUAAGUAGAACGCACAGGAUGCACUGUAGUUUACUACACCGUAUUCUGUGAGUUGCGAACGGGUGAGUAACGCGUAGGUAACCUGCCUGGUAGCGGGGGAUAACUAUUGGAAACGAUAGCUAAUACCGCAUAAGAACAUUUACUGCAUGGUAGAUGUUUAAAAGGUGCAAGAGCAUCACUACCAGAUGGACCUGCGUUGUAUUAGCUAGUUGGUGAGGUAACGGCUCACCAAGGCAACGAUACAUAGCCGACCUGAGAGGGUGAUCGGCCACACUGGGACUGAGACACGGCCCAGACUCCUACGGGAGGCAGCAGUAGGGAAUCUUCGGCAAUGGGGGGAACCCUGACCGAGCAACGCCGCGUGAGUGAAGAAGGUUUUCGGAUCGUAAAGCUCUGUUGUUAAGGAAGAACGUGUGUGAGAGUGGAAAGUUCACACAGUGACG